AUGCACGCUGGCGGCGUGCCUAAUACAUGCAAGUCGAGCGAACAGACGAGGAGCUUGCUCCUCUGACGUUAGCGGCGGACGGGUGAGUAACACGUGGAUAACCUACCUAUAAGACUGGGAUAACUUCGGGAAACCGGAGCUAAUACCGGAUAAUAUAUUGAACCGCAUGGUUCAAUAGUGAAAGACGGUUUUGCUGUCACUUAUAGAUGGAUCCGCGCCGCAUUAGCUAGUUGGUAAGGUAACGGCUUACCAAGGCGACGAUGCGUAGCCGACCUGAGAGGGUGAUCGGCCACACUGGAACUGAGACACGGUCCAGACUCCUACGGGAGGCAGCAGUAGGGAAUCUUCCGCAAUGGGCGAAAGCCUGACGGAGCAACGCCGCGUGAGUGACGAAGGUCUUCGGAUCGUAAAACUCUGUUAUUAGGGAAGAACAAAUGUGUAAGUAACUAUGCACGUCUUGACGGUACCUAAUCAGAAAGCCACGGCUAACUACGUG
rnacentral:rRNA from 1 species